AGCCAUCAAUCAAUUAGAGAGGAAGGGACCCUCAUGCAACUAUGCUCUGAAUCUCAUCAUUCCAAACACGCUUCGUUUCAUCUUGUAAUAUUUCACACCAUACUUCUCUCUCUCUUGUGCUAAAAAAUUUCUAUAAAGGUCUAUAAAGGAGGUUUUGACAGUGGGAAGCGAGGGAGUUUCUUUCUUUCCGGAGAGGCAAAUGCGGUUGCUUUGCUUUAUGGAAAGAAGAGAAGGGAACGGAAGAAAAGAGAAAAGAUGUCUUCACCAAGGGAAGCAAAUCAGAAUCUUUGCUUUUCCACACAAGAGUGUAGUGCAGGGCAAGGCAAUAUUAGAACAGUUCAUCUACGGCGACUUCCUUAGCUCCUACUACACUUAGGUCCCAUUCACAAGUCCAGAAUUAAUCUGGCUUGACGAUUGUCUUUUUUCUUUGUUACUGCUUCACGAUGUCUUUUUGGAAAUUUAUUGGUAUUUAAUUUUAAGAUAAUUAAAAUAAGUAUUUGUAAAAAAAUUGAUAAAUUAAUUUUACAGAAAAAAGUCAAAAUUCUCUUUUAUUAUUUAUUUUUUAUCUUGACAAAAACAUAUAUAUUUUUAAUUAGCAACAUAGUUGUUUUAAUAAAUAAAAAACUUGGUAAUUUAAAUAAGUAUUAAAGAAUUUUUAAUUAUUUAAAUUAAAAGGGAAAUCCUGAAUGGUUGUUAAUAAAUUUGUUUUGCUCUCUGUUUUUUAGUCACUUUUUUCUAUUUUGUUAUAUGCUUUGUGUUGGAUUCCACUUGUCUAGGCUUUCUUAACAUUUGUAGAUGGAGCGCAUGAGCGGUCCUUCUGCCUGAAGAGUAUACCAGUGAGGGUUGAAUCGGUCAUUUACCAGAAUAGCUUCUUCAAGGAUCUGUAGACUCCCUACAAAUAUUUAUCAUUAAAUAGUGUCCAAACAUAUCCCUAAAAUUAAGAUCGAUGAUAAUGACAGUGAUGAAGAAACAUCUUAUUAAGUAUGGGUUAUGAGGAUUUAAAUAUAUCAUAUUUAGUUUCACAUUUUUAUCCGUUCUUCAAUUCCUUUUAUUUCACUUAAAUUAUUUUCCCUGAAAAGAAAAUACAAUGUUUAUUUGGCAAAAACUCUUGUGUUUUGGAGGGGCAGGUUCAAGUGGAACUCCAUCAGAUUUAACCAGAGCAAAAGAACAAGACAAGGCAUGUCAUGAUAAAAUGCAAAGCUAAUUAAUUUCAUUCAACAAUUUAAAUUUCUUUGAACUUAAUACAUCAUUACUAAAUUCUAUGUUUGUCUAAUUUCUUCAGGUUUACUACUAUGAGGGUCCUGUCGGCUAAGAUCUUAUACAACAGGUAGUCACUUCCGAAGAUCAGCUUAAGGCUCGGAGUGUCUGCUUUGUGUAAUUUUCCUUGCCUUAAUUUCCUUGGCUAGCUGUGUGUGACGAUUUAUCAUCAAUAAAUUGAUAAACUUUUGGUUGCUCUGAAUUAUUGGCUUGCCUCUUUCUUCUAUUCAACUUAUCUUAUUUAAAAUAAUUGUGUGAUCAUUUAAAUAAUUAUGUUUAACAUAUAAAUUCGUCCUUCUAAACAAACUGAAAAACUGAAGUUGGGAGGAGAAGUAGCACUUAUGCUACUUGUUUCAAAUAAUACAACAGUCAUCAAGAACUUCAAACUUACUGCAAUGUUUCAUUCAUGAGUUUCAAAGAUCUUAAAGAAGAGACAUCCAUUUCCGCACGCUUCAAGAACAUCUACCCUUUCUUUAUAUCUGCGGCUAAAAAUCUAGUGAUAAAUUUACGAAAAAUGUGCAAGAAGUUGUUCUAAAUACAUACAAUGCUGACAGAGGCGAAUGUGGAAUUUUCUCAGCCAUGGCAUGACAAAUUGACAGCGGUAGUUCGAGG
rnacentral:lncRNA from 1 species